AACGAACGCUGGCGGCAGGCUUAACACAUGCAAGUCGAGCGCCCCGCAAGGGGAGCGGCAGACGGGUGAGUAACGCGUGGGAAUCUACCCAUCUCUACGGAAUAACGCAUGGAAACGUGUGCUAAUACCGUAUACGUCCUUCGGGAGAAAGAUUUAUCGGAGAUGGAUGAGCCCGCGUUGGAUUAGCUAGUUGGUGGGGUAAAGGCCUACCAAGUCGACGAUCCAUAGCUGGUCUGAGAGGAUGAUCAGCCACACUGGGACUGAGACACGGCCCAGACUACUUCGGGAAGAAGCAGUGGGGGAAAUUGGACAAUGGGCGCAAGCCUGAUCCAGCCAUGCCGCGUGAGUGAUGAAGGCCCUAGGGUUGUAAAGCUCUUUCACCGGUGAAGAUAAUGACGGUAACCGGAGAAGAAGCCCCGGCUAACUUCGUGCCAGCCGCCGCAGUAAUAC
rnacentral:rRNA from 1 species